GACGAACGCUGGCGGCGUGCUUAACACAUGCAAGUCGAACGGUAAGGCCCUUCGGGGUACACGAGUGGCGAACGGGUGAGUAACACGUGGGUGAUCUGCCCUGCACUUCGGGAUAAGCCUGGGAAACUGGGUCUAAUACCGGAUAGGACCACUGCCUGCAUGGGUGGUGGUGGAAAGCUUUUGCGGUGUGGGAUGGGCCCGCGGCCUAUCAGCUUGUUGGUGGGGUGAUGGCCUACCAAGGCGACGACGGGCAGCCGGCCUGAGAGGGUGACCGGCCACACUGGGACUGAGAUACGGCCCAGACUCCUACGGGAGGCAGCAGUGGGGAAUAUUGCACAAUGGGCGCAAGCCUGAUGCAGCGACGCCGCGUGAGGGAUGACGGCCUUCGGGUUGUAAACCUCUUUCAGCACCGACGAAGCGCAAGUGACGGUAGGUGCAGAAGAAGCACCGGCUAACUACGUGCCAGCCGCCGCCGUAA
rnacentral:rRNA from 1 species